UUAACUGGGAAUUGUUCUGUUCAUGCUCUUUUGUUGUUGUUGUUGUAGUGGUGAGUUGAAGGUGGUAGGUGUUGAGCCCGUCUAUAGAACGACUUGAACACUAAAGAGCUUGAGAGAUUUUGUUGUGUGUAGCUAAAGACAUUUGAAAUCUGUGUGAGACUUUGGGAACAAGCAAACAUUCUGUAAACUUGGCCCCAUUGAGGUGAAUAAACUGGAAUGGUGAACUUUAUGCUCUCUGUGGUAGAGGUGAGAUGGUGUUGAUGAGUGUUCAUGCUCUCUGUGGUAGUGGUGAGAUGGUGUUGAUGAGUGUUUAUGCUCUCUGUGGUAGUGGUGAGAUGGUGUUGAUGAGUGUUUAUGCUCUCUGUGGUAGUGGUGAGAUGGUGUUGAUGAGUGUUUAUGCUCUCUGUGGUAGUGGUGAGAUGGUGUUUAUGCUCUCUGUGGUAGUGGUGAGAUGGUGUUUAUGAGUGUUUAUGCUCUCUGUGGUAGUGGUGAGAUGGUGUUUAUGCUCUCUGUGGUAGUGGUGAGAUGGUGUUGUGCAAAAUCCUCCUAGAACUAUUUUCACUCGACUGUUUUUGUUAAGAGUGGCAUGAAACACACUAAACGACUCGAGUGUAAUUAAAGACACCUGAUAUCGGCACUU